GUAACGUACACCUGGCUCCGGGAUAGCUGCGGUCUUCGGACCUUUAGCGAAAGUGCAGAUAAUACCGGAUGAUAUCUUUUUGUCGCAUGGCAGAAAGAUCAAAUGCUUCGGUGGCUAGGAGCGGCCUGUGUCGUAUCAGCUUGUUGGUGAGGUAACGGCUCACCAAGGCAUCGACGCGUAGCGGGACUGAGAGGUUGACCCGCCACAUCGGGACUGAGACACUGCCCGGACCUCCACGGAGGGCUGCAGUAACGAAUAUUGCGCAAUGGGCGAAAGCCUGACGCAGCAACGCCGCGUGUAGGAUGAAGUCUUUCGGGAUGUAAACUACUGUUAGGGUGAAGUAAUAAAUGAACGAUCCCAGAGGAAGCCACGGCUAACUUCGUGCCAGCAGCCGCGGUAAUACGAAGGUGGCAAGCGUUAAUCGGAAUCAUUGGGCUUAAAGCGCGCGUAGGCGGAUAAUUAAGUGUCCUGUGAAAUCCCUCGGCUUAACCGAGGAAUUGCGGGGCAAACUGGUUAUCUUGAGACCAGUAGGGGUAUGUGGAACUCUAGGUGGAGCGGUGAAAUGCGUAGAUAUCUAGAGGAACGCCAGUGGAGAAAUCGACAUACUGGGCUGGAACUGACGCUGAGGUGCGAAAGCGUGGGGAGCGAACGGGAUUAGAUACCCCGGUAGUCCACGCCGUAAACGAUGUCUACUAGGUCGCAGGAGCUCUGACGCUGUUGCGGCCGAAGCAAAAGUGUUAAGUAGACCGCCUGGGGAGUACGGUCGCAAGGCUAAAACUCAAAGGAAUUGACGGGGGCUCACACAAGCGGUGGAGCAUGUGGCUUAAUUCGAAACAACGCGAAGAACCUUAUCCUGGAUUUGACAUGUUUGGAUGCCCUUGGUGAAAGCCAAGUAAGCUGCCUUCGGGUGAAACUUACACAGGUGCUGCAUGGCUGUCGUCAGCUCGUGUCGUGAGAUGUCGGGUUAAGUCCCUUAACGAGCGAAACCCUUAUCGUUAGUUACCAGCGCGUUAUGGCGGGAACUCUAACGAGACUGCCGGUGUUAAACCGGAGGAAGGUGGGGAUGACGUCAAGUCCUCAUGGCCUUUAUGUCCAGGGCUGCACACGUGCUACAAUGGUGUCUAAUAAACCGAAGCAAGACCGCGAGGUGGAGCAAAUCGGAAAAAUGGCACCUCAGUUCGGAUUGUAGGCUGCAACUCGCCUACAUGAAGUUGGAAUCGCUAGUAAUCGCAGAUCAGCAUGCUGCGGUGAAUAUGUUCCUGAGCCUUGUACACACCGCCCGUCAAGUCACGGAAGCUGGGAGCACCUGAAGUCGGGUAGCUAACUCCUCGGAGAGGCGCCUGCCGAUGGUGAGCUUGGUAACUGGGGCUAAGUCGUAACAAGGUA
rnacentral:rRNA from 1 species